AUUGAACGCUGGCGGCAGGCCUAACACAUGCAAGUCGAACGAGUGGCGGACGGGUGAGUAAUGUGUGGAACACUGCCCGAGGGGGGGGGAUAACUACUGGACACGGUAGCUAAUACCGCAUCACAUCGUAUGUGCCCAGAUGGGAUUAGCUGGUAGGGGGGGUAACGGCUCACAUGGGCGACGAUCCCUAGCUGGUCUGAGAGGAUGACCAGCCACACUGGAACUGAGACACGGUCCAGACUCCUACGGGAGGCAGCAGUGGGGAAUAUUGCACAAUGGGCGCAAGCCUGAUGCAGCCAUGCCGCGUGUAUGAAGAAGGCCUUCGGGUUGUAAAGUACUUUCAGCGGGGAGGCGUUACCCGCAGAAGAAGCACCGGCUAACUCCGUGCCAGCAGCCGCGGUAAUAC
rnacentral:rRNA from 1 species